rfam:Gossypium raimondii Chr02_contig_36, whole genome shotgun sequence.
UGGUUAAAAUUUCAUCCAUUUAUACGGUUAAAAACUGGCACUGUUGACAGAAUAACUAAUAGUGACAUGUGAUAUACCACGUGCGCCUUAUGCUGACGUACAAGGACAAAUUUUUAACAGCAUAAAUGGGUAAAAUUUUUAACA